GCUGGGCGUGGUGGUGGGCGCCUGUAAUCCCAGCUACUCAGGAGGCUGAGGCAGGAGAAUUGCUUGAACCCAGGGAGGCAGAGGUUGCAGUGAGCCAAGAUUAUGCUACUGCACUCCAGCCUGGGCGACAGAGCAAGACUCUGUCUCAA
rnacentral:SRP_RNA from 1 species